rnacentral:rRNA from 1 species
GAUGAACGCUAGCGGCAGGCCUAACACAUGCAAGUCGAGGGGUAGAGUUCUUCGGGACUUGAGACCGGCGCACGGGUGCGUAACGCGUAUGCAAUCUACCUUAUACAGGGGAAUAGCCCAGAGAAAUUUGGAUUAAUGCCCCAUAGUGUUAUCGAAUCGCAUGGUUUGAUAACUAAAGUUCCAACGGUAUAAGAUGAGCAUGCGUCCCAUUAGUUAGUUGGUAAGGUAACGGCUUACCAAGACAAUGAUGGGUAGGGGUCCUGAGAGGGAGAUCCCCCACACUGGUACUGAGACACGGACCAGACUCCUACGGGAGGCAGCAGUGAGGAAUAUUGGACAAUGGGCGCAAGCCUGAUCCAGCCAUGCCGCGUGCAGGAUGACGGUCCUAUGGAUUGUAAACUGCUUUAUACAGGAAGAAACACUCCGACGUGUC